AAUCAACGCUGGCGGCGUGCCUCAGACAUGCAAGUCGAACGAUUAAAGCUCUCUUCGGAGAGUGUAUAGAGUGGCGCACGGGUGAGUAACACGUAAGUAAUCUACCCUCGAGUGGGGAAUAACAACCGGAAACGGUUGCUAAUACCGCAUAAUGCAGCGGCACCGCAAGGUGACAGUUGUUAAAGAUUUAUCGCUUGAGGAGGAGCUUGCGGCAGAUUAGCUAGUUGGUAGGGUAACGGCUUACCAAGGCUACGAUCUGUAACCGGUCUAAGAGGACGGUCGGUCACACUGACACUGAAUAACGGGUCAAACUCCUACGGGAGGCAGCAGUCGGGAAUUUUGGGCAAUGGGCGAAAGCCUGACCCAGCAACGCCGCGUGAAGGAUGAAGUAUUUCGGUAUGUAAACUUCGAAAGAAUAGGAAGAAUUAAUGACGGUACUAUUUAUAAGGUCCGGCUAACUACGUGCCAGCAGCCGCGGUAAGCUCGUCUCUA
rnacentral:rRNA from 1 species